rnacentral:lncRNA from 1 species
ACAAUUUCUAGCACCAGUCCCAGCCUAAAACCUACAAGUUACCCAGUUUUCUCUGUAUCUUAAAAAAAAAAAAUCCAUUCUUCGAGUCUUAUCAUCAACCUGGGCCAUUCUUCCAAUCUUAUAGGGGCUAUUAAAUCACUUCCUCCUAAAAAUCCCUUGGUUACUAGCAUAGAUGAGGAGCCCCAAGAUCUUGACUGGUUCUGGGCUGAUGGAGUUCACACUUUGCCAAGGCUGUUACAAAAUAUCUAAAUAUUUGCUUGAUGUUUCUGUCUCUUAUACCAGGAGUUUACCUUGGGGGCAAAUGCUCUUAUCAUGAUUUUAUAAAUUCGCUUCAGGAGUUCAUAAGCCCUCAGUGUGUAAGCGUAGGUCAAUUUGCUUAUCAGGAGAUUUGGAUUCCUAAAGGGAUCCAGAGACUACUACAAUACUAAGAAUUAAAUACCUCAAGGACUUAAGUAGAAAAUUCUGCACCUGUUUCUGUCUUUCCUCUGUCAUUAUGUGU